UACGGAGGGAGCUAGCGUUGUUCGGAAUUACUGGGCGUAAAGCGCACGUAGGCGGCUUUGUAAGUUAGAGGUGAAAGCCCGGAGCUUAACUCCGGAGGGUCGGUGGAUACUGCCAGUCUUGAAGGUGCUAGGGGGAGAUGGAAUUACCGGUGUAGCGGUGAAAUGCGUAGAUAUCGGUAGGAACACCAGUGGCGAAGGCGGUCUCCUGGGGCAUUCUUGACGCUGAGGCGCGAAAGCUGGGGGAGCAAACGGG
rnacentral:rRNA from 1 species